rnacentral:rRNA from 1 species
AGAACGAACGCUGGCGGCGUGGAUAAGACAUGCAAGUCGAACGCGACUUAUUUUGUUAGCAAUAACAGAGUAAGUUGAGUGGCGAAAGGGUGCGUAACACGUGGGAAUUUACCAAGAAGUGGGGAAUAGCUCGACGAAAGUCGAAUUAAUACCGCAUGUGAUCGAGAGAUCAAAGUCGGGGACCGUAAGGCCUGACGCUUUUUGAGAAGCCCGCGGCCCAUCAGCUAGUUGGUGAGGUAAUGGCUCACCAAGGCUAUGACGGGUAGCUGGUCUGAGAGGACGACCAGCCACACUGGAACUGAGACACGGUCCAGACACCUACGGGUGGCAGCAGUCGAGAAUUUUUCACAAUGG